rnacentral:lncRNA from 1 species
CUCCGAACAGAGCGCUGCAGAGCCAGAGAGCCGGGUCUCUCCCCCCCCACCUACUUUUCCACUGGCCCCUUCAGCCUCCGAGACCCGCAGGAAUCAGGGAAGGGCAACGCGGCGGGAAGCAGAGGUGGGUCCUGUACCAAGCGCCCAGCUGUGGGGUCGCCCCUAGCAGAGAGCAUAGGCACAGAGAUCCACGCUCCAGGGACCCCAUGAAUGCGUGACAUUCACAUAAACUGAAAGAAACCCGUUUACCAGGAGUGGUGACCAUCGUGGAACCCCAGCGACUCGGAGGAUGAGGCAGGACAAUCACACGGCCAUCGUCCCAAGAAAGCGUGUGGGUCAGUUGCGGUGAACGCGACUCUGGGGCGUGAAGGGGGCUCUGGUGGUGGCCCGCAGAGAACCCCGGACGGAAAAGCCACUUGACAGAGAAGCCAAGGUCCGGUCGGUCUGUCUGCAGGGUCAGGGAGCCUCCCGGAGCUGGGGGGACUUCUCACGCUGUUGGGGACACAGUGGGUACUGCAGUGAGUGUUUAAAAGAAUCGCUCUGCAGAAAGAAGGGAAAUACACUAUUUUUGGAACUAUAGAGUAUUUUUUCCUUUUUCUGCACCUUUGAAGUUUUCUAAACGUAUGCAGGUGUCACUAGAACAAAACCCUGGACUCCUCGCUCCCUAUGGAGGCUGAAGUCUGAAAAGGGGAGUUUCCAAGCGCAGCGCAGCCUGAGGCCAAGCCCAAGGCAGUAGGGAGCGCGGGGACCCCGAGAACCUGGCUCGGAAGGAAGCUGUUGGCAAGAUGAUCUUUAAUCAUAAAAGCCCCGAGGGCAGGGCGCAUUGUGAAGAUAGGAUCCAGGGACGCAGAGUCCAGGGUGACGUAGUAAGAAGCAGCUCCCGGGUGCCUGAGAGGCGGCAGGCGGGGCGCGGGAUAGGGCGACACCUGCCGGCCGUCGCCGCGCUCCUGCCCUGACGGUGAAACAAGUCAUCUCAGGUUCCAAGCUGAAUGGGCUGCUGGCUCCCGGGGCUUCAUUUCCACCUGAGCAACAAAGGCAGCUGUCCAGCCUCCCAGAGGUGUGGGGAUAGGGACACUUGUGAACUGUGAAAAUCUGCAAGCCUCAAUAUGGAAAGCAUCCCAAAGAAACUCAAAGGGCAUAAAGGCGAAUCUCACGUCUACUCCGGAGAGGGAAAGAGAGUUAAGAGGGAAAGAGAGUUAAGACAAAACGAGCAUAAGGUAAAAAGGAAAAGAUUGUUUUUUCUAAAAAUUGUCCACGUUUGGGGUGGAGGUCUCUCAGCGGUAUAGCACGUGCUUAGCCUGCAUGAGGCCCUAUCAAUCCCCAGCACCAAAAAUAAAUUAACUAAUUCAUAAUAAAAAAAAAUGAAAUUUACAUUAAAAUUAUGUUCUUUUAAAGACUUCAUAAGGAGAAAGAAAGCAAAUCAACAAUGAUACGGAGGGUAUUUGCAAUGCAUAUACCUGAAAAGGGAUUUAUACCCAGAAUAUAUGUCCUUUUUGGAAAAAAAAUCCAUGAACCAAGAUUCAACUCAGCAAAUUAAAACCUAGAGCAGGUCUUCCUAGAAAGGAACCAGAAAACCCAUUAACUGUGAAAAGAUGCCUAACCUCAUCUGUUAUCAAGAAAAUAUAAAUUAAAACAAUGAUAUGCAAUCCCACACCCACUAGAUUAGCAAAACCUCUACCAACAUAGAGUGUUAAGACGUAGGGGAAAGAACUUGCAGUCACUGCUGUUGGAAAUGUGAGUAGGUUGCGAUCAUUUUAGAACACAGCAUGACUUGACCUAAUAAAGGUGAACACCUAAUAAAGGUGUGACCCAGUAGCCAGUAAUGCCAGUCCUCCCUGUGUGUACCUGGCAAAGAUUACUGCAAUUUUAAUCAAAAUCCCAGCAAGCUCUUUAGUUAAGAUUGGCAAGUUUAUUUUAAAAUUGAUAUGGAAAUGUAAAGAACCUAUCGUGGCCAAAAUAGCUCUAAGAACGAACUUACAUUACCUGAUUUCAAGACUUAUUAUAAAGUUGUAGAAAUCAAGACAGUAUGAUAUCGAUCUAAAGAUCCAUAAAAAGAAGGAAAAAAAUAGAAAGCACAGAAAUAGACCCAAUCAUAUAAGCUUUUAUUUGUCAGCCUUCCGUUACUCUGUCAAGUACCUGAGGUAAAUCAACUUAAAAAGCAGAAAACUGGGAAACAAAAAGAAGAUGAUUGAGGCAUCCCCUUUAAAGGGCAUGCCCCAGUGAUCUCCCACCAGGCUACAUACCUCCUAAAGUUUUUAUCAUCUCCCAACAGCACCACCCUGAGACAAAGCUUUUAACACUCUGGUUGACAUUCCAGAUCCAAACUAUAGCAAUGGUCAAUUAAUGGUCAACAAAGGCAGUUCAAUGGAGAAAGCAUAAUCUUUUUUUAAGAAACAGCCAUAUACGAAACAAUUUGAGCCUAACCUUUACUUCACACCAUUUCCAAAAGUUAACUUGAAAUAGGUCACAUAUGUAAGUUGGAGAACUAAAAGCAUAAAACUGCUGGAAGAAGUAAAAAAUUCGGAAGAAAAGAUAGUAGGGAAACUUAGCAACUGUAUGUUUUAAAGGGAUGGUCCACAAAUUUUAAAGGGACACUCCUCCCUUCAAGAGGUGGAGCUUAGCCAGGCCUGGUGGCACAUGCCUGUAAUCCCAGCAUUGAGCUCAGGUGGUUGAGGCAGGAGGAUAGUGAGUUUAAAGGCAGCCUCAGCAACUUAGCAAGGCGCUAAGCAACUCAGUGAGACUCUGUCUCUAAAUAAAUACAAAAUAGGGCUGGAGAUGUAGCUCAGUAGUUGAGUGUCCCCUGAGUUCAAUCCCUGGUACCAAAUUCUCUUCUAGCAAAGAGAAUACAGCAGAUGUGGUGGGAUGUCGGUUCUGAGAUUAGUGUAUAAAAAGACUGAAGUUUUCACUGUGGGUUCUCUGUCUGUCUCUGUUUGUUAUUUACUUUGCAGGGAACACCAACUGCCACAGCAUGAAACUCCCAGGGAAGAGAGCAAUCAGCUGCCUUGCUGUUGGAAGAGGCCCUUGUGGUAAGGCGCAGGAGGGUUACCAUCGAUCUCACACAUGAGCUUGGCAGCAGAUACUCCCCUCACCAACCUGAAGAUGACCACAACCCCACAAACAAGGGACAGCUUAUUGCAAUCUCAUGAAAGAUUGGGUGGCCAGAACUACCUAGCUAAGCUGCUCCCACAUUCCUGAUGCAUGGAAACUGUGAAGUAAUAAAAGUGUUUAUUGUUUAAAGAUGCUAAU